CCUUUCCCUUUCGGAUUCCGGACGCGGUGGUUGCUGUAACAGGUCCUCUCUGCGCCGCACGGCCGUCGCCAUGGUGAAGCUGAGCAAAGAGGCCAAGCAGAGACUACAGCAGCUCUUCAAGGGGGGCCAGUUUGCCAUUCGCUGGGGCUUUAUCCCUCUUGUGAUUUACUUGGUCUACUUUGGGGAUAAAGGAUUAUUCGGUCUUCUGGAUUUGGAGGCAAUCAGCGGACAGCAUGGAAGAUGUGUGCUCUGGCUCGGAUAAGAGAUGGGACAUCAUUCAGUCACUAGUUGGAUGGCACAAGGCUCUUCACAGAUGCAUCUGUAGCAGAGUGGAACUUGUACUAACUUAUGAUAGAAUGUAUCAGAAUAAAUGUUUUUAACAAUGUUAUGCUUGAGUCUUUUUUGAAUUGAACAUGCUAGGAUUAUCAGGUAAAAAUUAAGCCUUUUGGUACUUUUUCAAAACAGAGAAUUUAUGUAUGGUACCUAGGUGCUAUUUAUGCCUGUAAAUCCCAGCACUUUGGGAGGCCAAGGUGGGCGGAUCACGAUAUAAAAAAAUUUUUCCAAGUUAUUCCUGCCCAUUGACCUAACAUAUGGAUUACAGUUUCCCUUUGCAGUGAAUUAAUAACUCCUUCUAGGAUAUUCCGAAGUAGUAAGAAUACAGAUAGUUCUCAGUUUGUGACAAGCCAAGCUGUUACUUCCUCCUCUGCAUUAAAGUUCUGACUGCAAGAAAUAAA
rnacentral:sRNA from 1 species